GUGCUUACUUUGGCACACGCAUACUAAAAAUUGGAAUGAUGCAGAGGAGAUUAUUAUGGCACUUGCGCAAGGAUGACACACAAAUUCGUGAAGCAUCCCAUAUUUUU
ensembl:snRNA U6 U6 spliceosomal RNA